rnacentral:rRNA from 1 species
UCCCAGACUCCUACGGGAGGCAGCAGUGGGGAAUAUUGCACAAUGGGGGAAACCCUGAUGCAGCGACGCCGCGUGAGUGAAGAAGUAUUUCGGUAUGUAAAGCUCUAUCAGCAGGGAAGAAAAUGACGGUACCUGACUAAGAAGCCCCGGCUAACUACGUGCCAGCAGCCGCGGUAAUACGUAGGGGGCAAGCGUUAUCCGGAUUUACUGGGUGUAAAGGGAGCGUAGACGGCAUGGCAAGUCAGGGGUGAAAGCCCGGGGCCCAACCCCGGGACUGCCCUUGGAACUGUGCGGCUAGAGUGCGGGAGGGGCAGGCGGAAUUCCUGGUGUAGCGGUGAAAUGCGUAGAUAUCAGGAGGAACACCGGCGGCGAAGGCGGCCUGCUGGACCGCGACUGACGUUGAGGCUCGAAAGCGUGGGGAGCGAACAGGAUUAGAUCCCCUAGUA